AUCCCUUUGAAGCUUUUGGUUUUAUUUUCCGAUUCGGAGAUUUAUCGGAGGUCGUCGCCACUGUUGCCAAAUAAACAUCCCUUUGAAGCUUUUGGUUUUAUUUUCCGAUUCGGAGAUUUAUCGGAGGUCGUCGCCACUGUUGCCAAAUAAA